rnacentral:rRNA from 1 species
CGCGGCCUAUCAGCUUGUUGGUGAGGUAACGGCUCACCAAGGCGUCGACGGGUAGCUGGUUUGAGAGGACGAUCAGCCACACUGGGACUGAGACACGGCCCAGACUCCUACGGGAGGCAGCAGUAGGGAAUCUUGCGCAAUGGGCGAAAGCCUGACGCAGCAACGCCGCGUGGGGGAUGAAGGCUCUCGGGUCGUAAACCCCUUUCAGCAGGGACGAAAUUGACGGUACCUGCAGAAGAAGCUCCGGCCAACUACGUGCCAGCAGCCGCGGUAACACGUAGGGAGCAAGCGUUGUCCGGAUUUACUGGGCGUAAAGAGCUCGUAGGCUGUUCGGCAAGUUGGGUGUGAAAACUCCAGGCUCAACCUGGAGAGGCCACUCAAAACUGCUGUGACUAGAGUUCGGUAGAGGAGCGUGGAAUUCCUGGUGUAGCGGUGAAAUGCGCAGAUAUCAGGAGGAACACCAACGGCGAAGGCAGCGCUCUGGGCCGAUACUGACGCUGAGGAGCGAAAGCAUGGGGAUCAAACAGGAUUAGAUACCCUGGUAGUCCAUGCCGUAAACGUUGGGCACUAGGUGUGGGACCCUGUCAACGGGUUCCGUGCCGAAGCUAACGCAUUAAGUGCCCCGCCUGGGGAGUACGG